rnacentral:rRNA from 1 species
GACGAACGCUGGCGGCGUGCUUAACACAUGCAAGUCGAACGGAAAGGCCCUGCUUUUGUGGGGUGCUCGAGUGGCGAACGGGUGAGUAACACGUGAGUAACCUGCCCUUGACUUUGGGAUAACUUCAGGAAACUGGGGCUAAUACCGGAUAGGAGCUCCUGCUGCAUGGUGGGGGUUGGAAAGUUUCGGCGGUUGGGGAUGGACUCGCGGCUUAUCAGCUUGUUGGUGGGGUAGUGGCUUACCAAGGCUUUGACGGGUAGCCGGCCUGAGAGGGUGACCGGCCACAUUGGGACUGAGAUACGGCCCAGACGCCUACGGGAGGCAGCAGUGGGGAAUAUUGCACAAUGGGCGGAAGCCUGAUGCAGCAACGCCGCGUGCGUGAUGACGGCCUUCGGGUUGUAAACCGCUUUCGCCUGUGACGAAGCGUGAGUGACGGUAAUGGGUAAAGAAGCACCGGCUAACUACGUG